UAUACUAAAGCUGUACUAAACAACUGUAUUAGAUAGUCUUAUUAAGACAAACUAACAAAACUAACAGUCCAAUUACAAUGGUCUAAAUGCAGCCCAGUUUUAACUACAGAAGUCAAACAUCAACUGCUAACACGUGAACUAACAUUCAGUUAUUCAGUCCAGUGAUACAGUCCAUCUACAUUCAAUCAAUAUCAAAUACUAUUACUACCUAAUCUAACAUGUGAAUUAAUGUGUACAGAAGUAGGCUAAACAUGAAGUUGACAUGAGUAGUUUUUCAUUUAUUCAACAAUCCGGAUAUACUUAUGGAUUUAGUCCUUCAUACAUUAUUUGAAUUGAAGAAUAUCUGAAAUUAAGGCAAAAUGAGAGGAGGAGGAGGAGGAGUGAUCAGCUGCAACAGAAUAAGAGCAGAUGCAUAAACUUCAGCAGGAAGCAGCAAAAUCACAUCCAAAACCCAGGGAAUCGAUUCAGGCAAAUGACACUAGUAAAUGACCAAAACUAAAUUCCAAUUAAACUCAAACAGACUUGGAAAUGAACCCAGGAAAGCUUCUGAACUUCAGCAAUCAGAAAUAUCCCUAUCUAGGCUAGAAGAUGCAAAUUAACAGCUAAAACUCGAAAUUAACCUAAGAGUUUCAAUAGAAUAGUAUUUUUGGAGUUUUUACUUUUUGGUUUUAGAAUGUUUAAGAUCUAGAAGGAUUUCAAAUUUGGGUUUUUUAAAUUUGACAAAUUCGAAUUUCAGAUUUCAAAACCUGUAGAAACUUUUUGGGGGAAUUUUCAGAUGCCAAACUUGUUAAACACGGCAGUGGGGACUAUCUUUUAUAGGCAAAAUUGAGGAAAAGUUUCAGAUGUUUGUUUCACAUCUUUAUUCUCUCUUUUAUUUUCAGUUUUUAGCUGAUUAGACCUUCAUUUUCUGACUUGUUUCUCAAGUUACUUUACUAAGUUAUUGAUAUUUCAAUUAAAGUCCUAUUCUAGAAGAUUCUAGCUUCACCUACAACAUUGUUUUCUACCUAAGAAUGCCUAUACUACCCUUUAUUUAGUCUGAAAUUUCACUAACCUAGUACUAACUAAACCCCAGCCCCCCUUACUAACCAUGGUUAACUAAAUAAAAGUCUGGACUAUUUAGCUAUAACCAAAACAAUUUCAAGAACUUAUUCCAUUUAAUACUAAACAAAACUGAAAAUUAAUCCUAGUUCAUACUACUAUCGAACUAUCAAUUAAACAAAAUUAAUAAUCAACCACAAAAUUGAAAAAAACACAAGACCCUAUUAAUAUUACCGGGCCAUGAAUCAAACUAAAUUGACAUCAAUUCUAAGAAUACUAAAAAUAUAAACAGAAAAAUCAAGAUUAACUAAACUAAUCAAAAAAUGAACAAUCAAAGACUAGGAACUAAACACUAGCAGCAAAGUCCAACAAAAUCAAGUAAACUAAACCUAAACUAAAAAAAUCAAAAAUAACGCAAAACAGAAUCAUCAAACAAAAAAUAUAAAAUAUAAUACGAAGUACAACUCACUGAUUUUGGUCUUCAACUGGGCUGACCUCGAAUUUGAUUUUCAAUUAAUGUUAUAUGUUUAUUUUGUCCGAAAUAGACAUAUAACAUUAAUUAAAAAUCACUCGAACAAUUGAAACUCCCAAAACAUGUUGAAAUUUCGAGCCCUAGAUAUGAAAUUCAUGGGGUUUUACUUAGAUUUGAAGGGUUUUGGUUUGAGAUUUGGGAUGAUGAAGUCAAAGAGGCUAUAUGGUGUAGUUUUGGUCGAAUUUGGAGGAGUUAGGGUUUUGGUCGGAAUCUUUGAUUCAAGAUUCGACGACUUUGAUGGGAUUCGAGGGAAAGGGUUGGGGAUUUAAAAAGAGGAGGGUGAAGGGAUGCUAUGGUCUAAUUUUUAAGGUUAUUGGAGACACGCUGGCGGUAGAGGCGAUUUUCGGCAGACGACAGAAGGUGGCGGAGACGAGAAAGGGGUCUUUACGGUUCUAGAGAAACGAAAUGUGAGGGAACUUCUCAACCAUCAGAUCAACAAACAUAGACGGUUGAGAUUGAAUCUGGGCUAAACGGCAUCAUUUUCGGCAUGGCCAAGACUGGACUGGGUUGGGGGUU
rnacentral:lncRNA from 1 species